rnacentral:rRNA from 1 species
UACGAAGGGGGCUAGCGUUGUUCGGAAUUACUGGGCGUAAAGCGCACGUAGGCGGCUCAUUAAGUCAGGGGUGAAAUCCCGGGGCUCAACCUCGGAAUUGCCUCUGAUACUGGUGAGCUUGAGUCCGAGAGAGGUGAGUGGAACUCCGAGUGUAGAGGUGAAAUUCGUAGAUAUUCGGAAGAACACCAGUGGCGAAGGCGGCUCACUGGCUCGGUACUGACGCUGAGGUGCGAAAGCGUGGGGAGCAAAC